GACGAACGCUGGCGGCGUGCCUAACACAUGCAAGUCGUACGGUAAGGCCCUUUCGGGGGUUUUCGAGUGGCGAACGGGUGAGUAACACGUGAGUAACCUGCCCAUAACUUGGGGAUAACGCUAGGAAACUGGUACUAAUACUGGAUAUGUGCUCCUGCUGCAUGGUGGGGGUUGGAAAGCUACGGCGGUUGGGGAUGGACACGCGGCCUAUCAGCUUGUUGGUGGGGUAGUGGCAUACCAAGGCGGCGACGGGUAGGCGGCCUGAGAGGGUGACCGGCCACAUUGAGACUGAGAUACGGCCAAGACUCCGACGGGAAGCAGCAGUAGGGAAUGUUGCACUAUGGGAGCAAGCCUGAUGCAGCGACGCCGCGUGCGGGAUGACGAACUUGGGGUUGUAAGCCGAUUUCAGCAGGGACGAGGCUGUUUGUGACGGUACCUGAAGAAGAAGCACCGGCUAACUACGUG
rnacentral:rRNA from 1 species